GCACGAUAGAAAUCUGAUCAGAAAAAGAAAUUCUGACGGGAAUUGCGCACACAACUUCGGAACCUCCACCGCUGCCCUCCUUCCCACGACCACCACCCUCUCGGCUCUCCCAUUCGGGUGAGGAACCACUGCCCUGACGGAGGAUGCGUAUUUCCCCAUCGAGAUCCGCGGUAUAGAGAACCGGGGUCGCCGCCUCAGCCUUCCAUCCGUGCGUCGCGCACGCACGUCCCUCAGUACAUUGAGGAAAUUGGCCCCACGAUCCACCGAUUCAGCGCACAGGUUGUUGAUGAUGUUGACCGCCGAUUCGUUGGCCGCCGGACUCAUCGCGUCUCUCGCGGCAGAGGCACACAGGUAGCCAUGACUUUCCACUGCAGUUACUUAUCAUCUACGGAGUAAGAAUUUUUUUUGUACUGUUAUCCAAGUACAUCAACAAUCCUUCAUUUGGUUCAGUCUUGAAAGAGCAGCACGUUUUACCACUGCCGCUUUUAGAUCUAUCUUCUAGCGAACCUCCAUGGCAACCCGCCGGCUCACCUACGGAAAAAUGCUCAUCGUUUGGUUCAUGGAAAAUAACUUCAAGACACAUUUGUUCCUGAUGCAGGUGCAAGCAUUUUCUUGCAUCUAGAGGAUAUGUUGCAUGAGGUUGUAGGUCUCGAUAUCUUAUCUUGGAUAAGGUGUCUGGAUCUUUGUACUCUUGCUAUGCUGACAAUCUCCAGCGGUCCAACUCAAGGAAUUGGCACGAUAAAACUUUGACUACUAGACUUUUGGUAACUGAUCCAAGAUUGAUGAUGGGAUAUUACUUGUAUAAUUUUCCCUGAUGUUUACUGGGUUGAUGAAUUAUGUUAUUGCAACUUUUUCUGAACCAUGUCCACUAUUCAAUUCUUCACACACAGCUUCUUAGGGUAUCACUGUAGUCUUGAACCAUGACAUUUUAUAUUUAUCGCAUCUGUUUUGACUAGCUUACAGAGAGUGGUAUUUAGCCAUAGGACUGUAAACAGGUAGUUGUUUCAUUCGUUGUAGACUUACGAGCAAUCAAAUGUUGUUUCUUUUGGAAAUUUGAAAUAAAUGAAAAUACAUAUUCUUCGGAAUGGAUGGUUCAGUUCAACAAUUAUUUUCAUUAGGUUCCUGUGAAAGCUACUACAUACUAAAGUAUCAUCAAUCUAUGACAGGUUCAGCUGCACACUUUUACUGACUGUUUUGCUUUGAUGUUUUCAUUGAACCAGACUGCAGUUACAUAAAUCGAGCUUGUUGCUGGAAAGCCAACUGGUAAAGUCUCCCGAACUACGUGUACAUAUAUAUUUGCACGCUUGAUUUUAUGUUUUACUACUUGGAAUGUGGAGAGAAAAAGUUGUUUACUGACAUUGUUGUGAUACUGAAGUUCCUUUUACUCUUUUCCAAUGAUGUAGCCCGGUAAGUCAAAGUCAAAUGCUCAAUGGAAUGACUAAUUAGCGUUGAAACACCCUAUGUGUGUUGUUGUGCCCUUAAUACUAUAUAUCCAAUGUUCAAUUCAGUCCAGGCUGUAUCUAUUCUUGUAUGUCUGGCUUUCUCAUAAGUAGAUGAGGUUUUGGGCUCUUGGCCACCCGUAUGUCUUAUCUUAGUUCUCCGCAUGCUGAAUAUAGCCAAAAGGGGGAGCCUACCUUGUUGUGUUGGUCUUCCAAUUCAUACAUGCCUACAGGAUAUCUCAUGUUAUUAUUGUUUUUUGUUUUGUUUUACGGAUUCUUCAUAGCUAUAAUAUGUGGACCGAGGUUCACUCAGCAACACUGAAUGUUCUCGGAAAACAACACUUAACCCUGCUCAAUAUACCAUUCAUAGGACAGUAUCAAUGCUUCCUGAUCUAUUUGUUGUUCUCUGCUGUGAUCCCGGCCUCUGUCUUUCAGAACCCUUGCCCGCAACUAGAGAGAAGCUUGCCCAUUGCCAGAUGAGCCACUACUACCAGGAAAUGUAAGGAUACUAUAUCUUCUUGGUUUCGGUGUUCCUUUCCCUCACAUUUCAGCACUUCUUUUGUUAAUAAUAUGGGGAUGAGAGCAAAUAAGGAGGCUUAUAUUCAAAGAAAUCAAAUGCUCUUUGGCUGCCUAUUCUUUGGUGCUUGCAAUGCAUGGUGCCUUCGCUUUCUUUGGAAGCCUGCUGCAUGCUAGACUUCAACAGAAAUGGUUCGCCAUACGGGAAGGUUGUAAUACGCCUUGAUUGGCCUCUCCCUGCGGACGCAAGCCAAGCCAGUUGUUGUUAUGCCAUCAACUAUUGCUGCCGUGCCACAAGACUGCAAAACUGGUCGAGCAGGAUUUCUCAUCACUUCAUACUUCAGUGAUGACAGACUACAUGAAGGAAAUCUUGUGUGCGCAACUGGAGUAUACUUGUCAUGUAGGUAAGAAGCGCCCUUGCGUGUGCGGGUAAGGGGCGCUUUUGCAGAAAUCCAUGGCGAAAUCAGGUCUAGAGUACAGUUGCUCGCCAUGCUGGCUAAUUUGUUAAUGGCUAUCGGUAGCAGUUAUCCCUACCAAUGCACAUGUAUUUAACUAUACUUGACAGAUACCUGAUUACAUAUAUUUGUUUACGGAAGUGCAUGUUCGUGCAAAUGUGUUAUACAAUAAUGGUAUUUGCUUA